rnacentral:rRNA from 1 species
UGAUUAAAUAAGAGGAGGAGAUUAGGCGUGGGGUAAGAGGGUUUAAAGUGGUUAUUUGAGUUAAUUUUUAAAAAAAAAGUGAAAUCUAAUAUUUGUAUAGGUUAGGUUGAGCAACCAGUCGUUGAAGCCUGUAAGAAGUUGAACUAAAAUAGGAUUAGAUACCCUGCUAUACUACUUUGAAAUUAAUUAUCGCCGGGGUAGUAGCAGUUAUUUUCUUUAAACCCAAAGAACUUGGCGGUAUCACAUUCUUAUUAGAGGAACCUGCUUCAGAAACGAUAAUCCCCGAAGUACCUUACUUUUUUUCGUAUCCAGUUUGUAUACCGCCAUUAUUAGAUUAUUUCGAGAGAAAGUUAUUGUAAUUAUUUAUUAAUAUGUAUAUUAGGUCAAGGUGCAGCUUAUAAAAAAGCGUAAGUGGGUUACAAUUAGUUAAGCUAUUGGCUAAAAUGGUGAAAGUUUUUUAAAAAUUGGAUUUAAUUGUAAUAUUAUUUUAUUAAGGUAAUUUGAUAUUAGCUCUGUGAUAUGUACACAUCGCCCGUCGCUCUCAUCUUAAAAU